UUCCUUCCUGACUGUCUGAAGAUAGGCCGCCAUCAUGAACGGCACCGUAACUAUCCACACUAGAAAGUUCAUGACCAACCGACUACUUCAGAGGAAACAAAUGGUCAUUGUUGUCCUUCACCCCGGGACGGCAAUGGUGCCUAAGACAGAAAUUCGGGAAAAACUAGCCAAAAUGUACAAGACCACACCGGAUGUCAUCUUUGUAUUUGGAUUCAGAACUCAUUUUGGUGGUGGCAAGACAACUGGCUUUGGCAUGAUUUAUGACUCCCUGGAUUAUGCAAAGAAAAAUGAACCCAAACAUAGACUUGCAAGACAUGGCCUGUAUGAGAAGAAAAAGACCUCAAGAAAGCAAUGAAAGGAAUGCAAGAACAGAAUGAAGAGUCAGGGGGACUGCAAAGGCCAAUGUUGGUGCUGGCAAAAAGUGAGCUGGAGAUUGGAUCACAGCCAAAGGAGUAAAGGUGCUGCAGUAAAGGCUACCUGUGUCCAUUUUGGAUUUUUCACGAGCAGAUUAAUAAACUAAAAACUUUCAAAAAAAAAAAAAAA